UACGGGGGGAGCAAGCGUUGUUCGGAUUUACUGGGCGUAAAGGGCGCGUAGGCGGUCGUGACAAGUCACUUGUGAAAUCUCCGGGCUUAACUCGGAACGGUCAAGUGAUACUGUCGGACUAGAGUACAGAAGGGGCAACUGGAAUUCUCGGUGUAGCGGUGAAAUGCGUAGAUAUCGAGAGGAACACCUGCGGCGAAGGCGGGACUCUGGGCCGAUACUGACGCUGAGGAGCGAAAGCAUGGGUAGCAAACAGG
rnacentral:rRNA from 1 species